rnacentral:rRNA from 1 species
AGCGAACGCUGGCGGCAGGCUUAACACAUGCAAGUCGAGCGGGCACUUCGGUGUCAGCGGCAGACGGGUGAGUAACACGUGGGAACGUACCCUUUGGUUCGGAAUAACGCUGGGAAACUAGCGCUAAUACCGGAUACGCCCUUUUGGGGAAAGGCUUGCUGCCGAAGGAUCGGCCCGCGUCUGAUUAGCUAGUUGGUGGGGUAAUGGCCUACCAAGGCGACGAUCAGUAGCUGGUCGGUGAGGAGGAUCCGCCACACUGGGACUGAGACACGGCCCAGCCUCGUACGGGGGGGAGCAGUGGGGAAUAUUGGAGAAUGGGCGCUAGCGUGAUCCAGCCAUGCCGGGGGAGUGGGGAAGGCCGUAGGGUUGUAAAGCUGUUUUGGACGGGACGAUAAUGACGGUACUGGAAGAAUAAGCCCCGGCUAACUUCGUG